CACGAACCGGACAAACGUUAUUCGGAAUUAUUGGGCUUAAAGGGUGCGUAGGCGGUGCGGUAAGUGCGGUGUGAAAGCCCUCGGCUCAACCGAGGAAUUGCGCUGCAUACUGCCGUGCUAGAGGGAGACAGAGGUAAGCGGAACUGAUGGUGGAGCGGUGAAAUGCGUUGAUAUCAUCAGGAACACCGGUGGCGAAAGCGGCUUACUGGGUCUCUUCUGACGCUGAGGCACGAAAGCUAGGGUAGCGAACGGG
rnacentral:rRNA from 1 species